UACGAAGGGGGCUAGCGUUGCUCGGAAUCACUGGGCGUAAAGGGUGCGCAGGCGGGUCUUUAAGUCAGGGGUGAAAUCCUGGAGCUCAACUCCAGAACUGCCUUUGAUACUGAAGAUCUUGAGUUCGGGAGAGGUGAGUGGAACUGCGAGUGUAGAGGUGAAAUUCGUAGAUAUUAGGAAGAACACCAGUGGCGAAGGCGGCUCACUAGUCCGGUACUGACGCUGAGGUGCGAAAGCGUGGGGAGCAAACAGG
rnacentral:rRNA from 1 species